AAAAAAAAAAAAAAAAGACUGAAUUGCCCCUCACCUUCAGGCCCCUCCCUUCUCCUUCUGUGCAACCCAUGACACUCCUCCCCCUCUCCAUUUCCUAUCCCUCUGCUCCCUCUCCAAAUUCUAUACCUCUGUCCCCUCUCCAAAUCUUCCUUCAAAGAACCAUGCUGAGUCAAGAAAACCCAACGCCAUCCAGCUUUCCUCGUUGAUUACAUGAAGUGUGCAUCAUUUAUUUCUUAAAAUCGUCAUUUCACUAUGCUUAAGCUGUUUGUUUUGUGUUACCCCAACAUUGCAAUCAGACCCAUCUGCUUUGUUGUCACCUCUAAAGCCCAUCUAUCAUUCAUCAAUUUAGAAGGCCAAGGGAUUCCCACACUGCUAUGAUGAGCGAAUUUGCCCUUUGAAAAGCCUCUCACACAUAUCCAUUUGCGAUCGACAUUGAGUUAUUCUCACCAGCGUCGGCAACCACCAGUUACAAUAGUUGCUUAUUAUUUCUCAUUUUCUUUUUUUUGGGUUUUGUUGGUUAUAUGGAUUUUGCUGUACAGUUAUUGAUUUGUUUUUGUGCUAGGGAAUUAAGAAUUUUAAGUGUUGAGGUUCUCUUGGUGUUCUAGUUUUUUAUUUUUCAGUGUUUAUGAUUGUCUUAAUGUUAUGGUUUUUGAGUUACCUUGUUCUUAGUCAU
rnacentral:misc_RNA from 1 species